GUUGCUUCAGCUACACAUAGACUAAAAUUGGAAUGACACAGAUUAGAUUAGCAUGACCCUUGAGCAAGGAUGACAGGCAACUUCACAAAGCGUUCCAUGUUUUU
rnacentral:snRNA from 1 species